AUCUCCAGUGGGACAGUCUGUCAUCCCAUCCAACCCUGUGUGGUUCAGCAGUGGCAUGUUGGACGCCAUGCAGAAGGUUUCCCCUUCUUCUGGCUCUGGCUGCCCUGCUGAUCCGCCAGCUGGGCAGACCUUCCGUGUGAAGCGUCAGCCCAGAGGUGUUGCCACAACGCGCAGAGGACGAAAGCGGCAGGUUCCGGCAACACCUGUGCCUGCCCCUGUGACUGAGUCUACCUCCAAGCCCGGCCCAGCAGUCCAGGAGGUG